rnacentral:lncRNA from 1 species
GAAAAUAAGUGCAACAUGCCAGAAAUCCAGUAAAGCAGUUCAAGUAUCAGAAGAGCGUGAAUCAAAACCAAGUGCAAGAAGAGGCACCUUGACAUUGAACUGAAGGCCACCAGUCUCCUGCCAGUGCUUCCAAUCGCUGAACUGAACUGGGAACAAAUCAACAAGGGAAACCAAGAGAUGCAUUCCUUGAAGUUCAGCCUCCAGGCCUCAAGUAAGGCAGAGGAAGAGAAUACAUAGAUCUGUGGAGAAGAGUGGUGAUGGUGGGAGCUGCCAAUAAAGAACUAUCAAAAAAGGAUGAUGCAACAGAAAAGCCGUCACCAGAUACCAGCACCUUAAUGUUGGACUUCUCAGCCUCCAGAACUGUAAGAAAUAAAUCCCUGUUCUUUAUAAAUUACCCAGUCUCAGGUAUCCUGCUAUAGCAGCACAAAAUGGACUAUGAUAGAAAAUUGGUAUGAAGGAGUAGUACCAUUGUUAUAACAAAUACCUAAAAAUGGAAGCCACUCUGGAACUGGGUAAGGGGUAGAGUAUGGAAGAAUUUAGAGGAGCAGGCUAGAAAAAGCCUAAAUUGCUGUGUAUUACUCCAGGAUGGUAAGAAAUAAAUCUCUGUUCUUUAUAAAUUGCCCAGACUCACAGCACAAAACAAAUUAAGACAUUAAGAUUUGCCCCAUUCUUAGAAUUCAUUUCUUCCAUUUUCCCUUUAAUUAAAUCAAUGCCAGCAUCUAAGCAGUGUGCACCUUUUGACCAUAGUCUUUCUAAUUGACCAGAAGCUUAGAUGUGGAAAAUGCAAAAACUAUGCACAUUUCUGAUGGGUUUAACUUCUGAGAAAUUUUUACAAGGUUUUCCUUAUUUUAUCUGCUCCAGUAAACCUGUGGUUUCAUGAACAGGCCUAGAAUUUGAGAUUCAGCUUCUAAACUUCAAAGGUGACCUUUCAACCCAUUUGUUUAUAGACUCGGUAUUAACCUUUUGAGUUCUAGAAUAGGGUUUUAGAACUUACUUUCAUAAAAGUUUAUAUAGUCAAUUCCAUUCAUUUAUGCUAAGGACAUAGAAUAUUUCUAGAUUGCACAAUAUGUUUCUGUGGGAAUUGAAUGGAAAUCCAGGUUUCCUGACAAGAAACAAAGGAUCUUUGGGAGGCCGAGACAGGCGGAUCACGAGGUCAGGAGAUCGAGACCAUCCUGGCUAACACGGUGAAACCCCGUCUCUACUAAAAAUACAAAACUUAGCCGGGCAUGGUGGCGUGCGCCUGUAGUCCCAGCUACACGGGAGGCUGAGGCAGGAGAAUGGUGUGAACCCGGGAGGCGGAGCUUGCAGUGAGUCGAGAUCACGCCACUGCACUCCAGCCUGGGUGACAGAGCGAGACUCCGUCUCAAAAAAAAAAAAAGAAAAAAAAGAAACAAAG